CGUGGUGGUUCCCGUGGAGAAUAUUUGGCGUUCUUACUUGAUGUGUUUUCUUUACGACUUGCUCUCGUGCUCAUUGUAAAACUUCCCUCUCGUUCCUGCAACAUCGCAUGAACGAGUAUUUCUCGUUGCUUUCGACAGAGGCUGCGCAGACUUUGACUUCGAAUUAGUAAGAAGUUAAUUGGACCCAAUUAUUUGUCUUACUUACAAGCUAGAUGCGAUCACGUGACCCCUCAUUUCCACACUUGUCCCUUCUUUUCCUCCUUUCUACUACGCUCUCCCCUUCCACCUCAACCCCUCUCUCUCUCUCGGUACUCGGCGUUGAGUUUGGUAGAUGAUUCUGGCCAUUUGACUGGUUGUGACUCUCUGUGCUUGUGUACCAUGUGAAAAGCUGCGAACUAAUGAGUAUGAUUUACAAAUUCUGAGAGUGGAAGUUUAAAGAAACUUCAAACCUUUCACUUGGCAGCUUCGGCUGUCUUAAUGUGUAUAAGUUGAACUUCUAAAAACGCUUAAUUAUUACCUCUAUAUUUGUGUUUGAUUUCUGGAUGAUUACGGCCCGUUAUCAGAUACGCAGAGAGAAAACAUUUCUUCAGUUCAGACAUAUACAUCCAACUCCUUGGCAGCGCGCAAACAGACAGUUAUUAUUAGCGUUGAAAACAGACCGCUCCAGCAGCAAAGAACUCCGUCUACUGCCAAGGGACUCCUGCAGACCGCCUAGCGAUAUAUAGGCUAGGUUCCCACUCGCCUUAAACUGG